CCUACGGGAGGCAGCAGUGAGGAAUAUUGCUCAAUGGACGAGAGUCUGAACCAGCCAAGUAGCGUGAAGGAUGACUGCCCUAUGGGUUGUAAACUUCUUUUAUAUGGGAAUAAAAUGUUCCACGUGUGGAAUUUUGUAUGUACCAUAUGAAUAAGGAUCGGCUAACUCCGUGCCAGCAGCCGCGGUAAUACGGAGGAUCCGAGCGUUAUCCGGAUUUAGUGGGUUUAAAGGGAACGUAGGUGGAUUGUUAAGUCAGUUGUGAAAGGUUGCGGCUCAACCGUAGAAUUGCAGUUGAAACUGGCAGUCUUGAGUACAGUAGAGGUGGGCGGAAUUCGUGGUGUAGCGGUGAAAUGCUUAGAUAUCACGAAGAACUCCGAUUGCGAAGGCAGCUAACUGGACUGCAACUGACACUGAGGCUCGAAAGUGUGGGUAUCAAACAGGAUUAGAUACCCCAGUAGUC
rnacentral:rRNA from 1 species